rnacentral:lncRNA from 1 species
UCUCAAUGGAAGCUUCCUGAGGCCCCAGAGAGAACUAACCAUGCCCACCACUGUACCCUCUUCAUCUCCACCCAGAGCAAACCUGUUGUGUCCCAAGUCACCAGUUCAAGUGUGCCUGAAGUAUAACGGACAUACAGCAAAAUACCCAUGUUUUAAGUGGAUCGCCUCAAGUCUUCCGAGGGAAAGCCCCAACCCGGAUCAGUUCGUUAGCAGCACCUAGUGCCACUUUCGGAGCAUCCUGUUGUCCAAGGUAACUGGUCUUCUGAUUUUUGUGACCGCAGCUUAGUUUUGCCCGGGGUCAAUGGCAUUGUAAGGUAUAUGGCAUUCCCUUUUGGGGGUGAAAAACC